rnacentral:rRNA from 1 species
AUUGAACGCUGGCGGCAGGCCUAACACAUGCAAGUCGAACGGUAGCACAGAGAGCUUGCUCUCGGGUGGCGAGUGGCGGACGGGUGAGUAACGUCUGGGAAACUGCCCGAUGGAGGGGGAUAACUACUGGAAACGGUAGCUAAUACCGCAUAACGUCGCAAGACCAAAGUGGGGGACCUUCUGGCCUCACACCAUCGGAUGUGCCCAGAUGGGAUUAGCUAGUAGGUGGGGUAAUGGCUCACCUAGGCGACGAUCCCUAGCUGGUCUGAGAGGAUGACCAGCCACACUGGAACUGAGACACGGUCCAGACUCCUACGGGAGGCAGCAGUGGGGAAUAUUGCACAAUGGGCGCAAGCCUGAUGCAGCCAUGCCGCGUGUAUGAAGAAGGCCUUCGGGUUGUAAAGUACUUUCAGCGGGGAGGAAGGCGGUGAAGUUAAUAACUUCACCGAUUGACGUUACCCGCAGAAGAAGCACCGGCUAACUCCGUGCCAGCCGCCGCAGUAA